CAUCCCUGGCAAAACUCUUGCAGAGUCACUUCAUCCCACAGGCAAAGCUCUCGUCUGUUGACAUCUGCCCACGGGGAGAGCUCUUCGUCCCCAGCGCAUUCCCACUCCUCGUCCAUGGUGACAAAGGCCGGCUCCUCUCAGGCUCUGACAGAGGCAGGACUGAGCUUCCCACUGUCCCCAGCCACUGCCCACUGAGGUCCUGGUCUUGUGGCCAGCUGGGCAAGGGGCUGGGGGUCUGGGAGUUGGGGCUUGCCUUUUCCUACUCCAUGUCUGUAAUGCUCCGUGACAAACAGGCCCCUGGACGCAGCCGCUCUCCCGGGACUGACCCGGGCCCCACAAGCCCUUUAUGUACCCCCAGCCAGGGUGGGGCUGCCAUGUCACAAUGGACUGGGGGCACCGCAAGGUCCCGUGUCACCGAGGGCCCUGACGCACCGUGCCUGUGUCACAAAGGCCACCCCGGCAACCCUCCAACCGCCCGAGCACCGGGAGCGGCCUGGAGCAGCCCCGCCUUGGGGGAUUGCUGCCCCUUGUUCCCCGUUUCUCAAAAUGAUCAGGUGUGGAGGGCUUUGGGCCCUCCAACCUGGAGACAUCCGCCCUCCCAUGGAGAGGACGAGGCCCAAAGGCCAGCAAGGUAGAUUCUGCACAUGCCAUGUGUCCUUCUCCUUUUCUCCAGCCCUGAGCCCUCAGCUAACCAGUUCUGAUCCUCCUGUAUAAACCCUGCACGCUCAGACUUCCCCUGGGGCUCUUGUUCCCGGCACCUUUUACAGAGUGCCCCUUUUU